GGGCGGUUAGCUCAGCGGGAGAGCGCUUCCCUGACACGGAAGAGGUCACUGGUUCAAUCCCAGUACCGCCCA
rnacentral:tRNA from 1 species